AUGAUUCCUAGGGAAGACAAGGCAACCUGGAAGUCCAAUUGCUUCCUUAAGAUCAUCCAACUUUUGGAUGAUUACCCAAAAUGCUUAAUUGUGGGAACAGACAAUGUGGGCUCCAAGCAGAUGCAGCAGAUCUGCAUGUCCACCCAAGGGAAGGCUGUGGUGCUGAGCAAGACAAGCAUGAUGUGCAAAGCCGUCCAAGGGCAUCUGGAAAACAACCCAGCUCUGGAGAAACUGUUGCUUCAUAUCCGGGGGAAUGUGGGCUUUGUGUUCACCAAGGAGGACCUUACUGAGAUCAGGGACAUGCUGCUGGCCAAUAAGGUGCCAGCUGCCACCCAUGCUGGUGCGGUUGCCCCAUGUGAUGUCAUUGUGCCAUCCCAGAACACUGAUCUGGGGCCAGAGAAGGUCUCCUUCUUCUAGGUUUUAGGCAUCACCACUAAAAUUUCCAGGGACACCAUUGAAAUCCUGAGUGAUGUGCAGCUGAUUAAGACUGGAGACAAAGUGGAAGCCAGCGAAGCCACACUGUGGAGUAUGCUGAACAUCUUGCCUUUCUCCUUUGGUCUGAUCAUCCAGCAGGUGUCCAACAAUGGCAGCACCUACCGCCCUGAAGUGCUUGACAUCGCAGAGGAAACUGUGCAUUCUGGCUUCCUGGAGGGGUCUGCAAUGUUGCCAGUGUUCGUCUGCAGAUUGGUUACCCAACUGUUGCAUCAGUACCCCAUUCUAUCAUCAGUGGCUACAAACGAGUCCUGGCUUUGUCUGUGGGGACUGAUUACACCUUUUCACUUGCUGAAAAGGUCAAAGCCUUCUUCGCUGAUCCAUCUGCUUUUGUGGCUGCUGCCCGGGGGGGCCACGCCACCACUGCUGCUCCUGCUGCUGCCAAAGCCCAAGCCAAGGCUGAAGCCAAGGAAGAGCUGGAGGAGUUGGAUGAGGAUACAGGACUUGGUCUCUUUGAUGAAUCACCAGAAAGAACCAACUCACUUCCAACCAACUCUAAAUCGCCCACGAAUCCAAACCGUCAGGGUCGGACCCAGUAUUGCCACUAG